AGCUGUUUGCUGCUCCCAACCACUGGC
rnacentral:piRNA from 1 species